AGGCGAUGAAGGACGUGCUAAUCUGCGAUAAGCGUCGGUAAGGUGAUAUGAACCGUUAUAACCGGCGAUUUCCGAAUGGGGAAACCCAGUGUGAUUCGUCACACUAUCAUUACGUGAAUACAUAGCGUAAUGAAGCGAACCGGGGGAACUGAAACAUCUAAGUACCCCGAGGAAAAGAAAUCAACCGAGAUUCCCCCAGUAGCGGCGAGCGAACGGGGAGCAGCCCAGAGUCUGAAUCAGCUUGUGUGUUAGUGGAACGGUCUGGAAAGUCCGACGGUACAGGGUGAUAGUCCCGUACACCAAAAUGCACAGGUUGUGAACUCGAAGAGUAGGGCGGGACACGUGGUAUCCUGUCUGAAUAUGGGGGGACCAUCCUCCAAGGCUAAAUACUCCUGACUGACCGAUAGUGAACCAGUACCGUGAGGGAAAGGCGAAAAGAACCCCGGCGAGGGGAGUGAAAAAGAACCUGAAACCGUGUACGUACAAGCAGUGGGAGCCUCUUUAUGGGGUGACUGCGUACCUUUUGUAUAAUGGGUCAGCGACUUAUAUUCUGUAGCAAGGUUAACCGUAUAGGGGAGCCGAAGGGAAACCGAGUCUUAACUGGGCGUUAAGUUGCAGGGUAUAGACCCGAAACCCGGUGAUCUAGCCAUGGGCAGGUUGAAGGUUGGGUAACACUAACUGGAGGACCGAACCGACUAAUGUUGAAAAAUUAGCGGAUGACUUGUGGCUGGGGGUGAAAGGCCAAUCAAACCGGGAGAUAGCUGGUUCUCCCCGAAAGCUAUUUAGGUAGCGCCUCGUGAAUUCAUCUUCGGGGGUAGAGCACUGUUUCGGCUAGGGGGUCAUCCCGACUUACCAACCCGAUGCAAACUGCGAAUACCGAAGAAUGUUAUCACGGGAGACACACGGCGGGUGCUAACGUCCGUCGUGAAGAGGGAAACAACCCAGACCGCCAGCUAAGGUCCCAAAGUCAUGGUUAAGUGGGAAACGAUGUGGGAAGGCACAGACAGCCAGGAUGUUGGCUUAGAAGCAGCCAUCAUUUAAAGAAAGCGUAAUAGCUCACUGGUCGAGUCGGCCUGCGCGGAAGAUGUAACGGGGCUAAACCAUGCACCGAAGCUGCGGCAGCGACACUAUGUGUUGUUGGGUAGGGGAGCGUUCUGUAAGCCGUUGAAGGUGUAUCGUGAGGUAUGCUGGAGGUAUCAGAAGUGCGAAUGCUGACAUAAGUAACGAUAAUGCGGGUGAAAAACCCGCACGCCGGAAGACCAAGGGUUCCUGUCCAACGUUAAUCGGGGCAGGGUGAGUCGACCCCUAAGGCGAGGCCGAAAGGCGUAGUCGAUGGGAAACAGGUUAAUAUUCCUGUACUUGGUGUUACUGCGAAGGGGGGACGGAGAAGGCUAUGUUAGCCGGGCGACGGUUGUCCCGGUUUAAGCAUGUAGGCGGAGGUUCCAGGUAAAUCCGGUACCUUUUAACGCUGAGGUGUGAUGACGAGGCACUACGGUGCUGAAGUAACAAAUGCCCUGCUUCCAGGAAAAGCCUCUAAGCAUCAGGUAACACGAAAUCGUACCCCAAACCGACACAGGUGGUCAGGUAGAGAAUACCAAGGCGCUUGAGAGAACUCGGGUGAAGGAACUAGGCAAAAUGGUGCCGUAACUUCGGGAGAAGGCACGCUGAUAUGUAGGUGAAGUGAUUUACUCAUGGAGCUGAAAUCAGUCGAAGAUACCAGCUGGCUGCAACUGUUUAUUAAAAACACAGCACUGUGCAAACACGAAAGUGGACGUAUACGGUGUGACGCCUGCCCGGUGCCGGAAGGUUAAUUGAUGGGGUUAUCCGUAAGGAGAAGCUCUUGAUCGAAGCCCCGGUAAACGGCGGCCGUAACUAUAACGGUCCUAAGGUAGCGAAAUUCCUUGUCGGGUAAGUUCCGACCUGCACGAAUGGCGUAAUGAUGGCCAGGCUGUCUCCACCCGAGACUCAGUGAAAUUGAACUCGCUGUGAAGAUGCAGUGUACCCGCGGCAAGACGGAAAGACCCCGUGAACCUUUACUAUAGCUUGACACUGAACACUGGUCCUUGAUGUGUAGGAUAGGUGGGAGGCUUUGAAGUGUGGACGCCAGUCUGCAUGGAGCCAUCCUUGAAAUACCACCCUUUAAUGGCUGGUGUUCUAACGUGGACCCGUAAUCCGGGUUGCGGACAGUGUCUGGUGGGUAGUUUGACUGGGGCGGUCUCCUCCUAAAGAGUAACGGAGGAGCACGAAGGUUAGCUAAUCCUGGUCGGACAUCAGGAGGUUAGUGCAAAGGCAUAAGCUAGCUUGACUGCGAGAGUGACGGCUCGAGCAGGUGCGAAAGCAGGUCUUAGUGAUCCGGUGGUUCUGAAUGGAAGGGCCAUCGCUCAACGGAUAAAAGGUACUCCGGGGAUAACAGGCUGAUACCGCCCAAGAGUUCAUAUCGACGGCGGUGUUUGGCACCUCGAUGUCGGCUCAUCACAUCCUGGGGCUGAAGUAGGUCCCAAGGGUAUGGCUGUUCGCCAUUUAAAGUGGUACGCGAGCUGGGUUUAGAACGUCGUGAGACAGUUCGGUCCCUAUCUGCCGUGGGCGCUGGAGAAUUGAGGGGGGCUGCUCCUAGUACGAGAGGACCGGAGUGGACGCAUCACUGGUGUUCGGGUUGUCAUGCCAAUGGCAUUGCCCGGUAGCUAAAUGCGGAAGAGAUAAGUGCUGAAAGCAUCUAAGCACGAAACUUGCCCCGAGAUGAGUUCUCCCUGAGACU
rnacentral:rRNA from 1 species